rnacentral:lncRNA from 1 species
UGCAAGGUGCAUAUAACUAAACUAGUAAGUAUAUACAUGAAAACAUAAUUAGCAGUUAAAAUAUAAUCAAACAAGAAUAUACCCAUCAAAUAAAGAUACAGACAAUAAAAAUACAUCUCUUACCUAAAAUAAAAAAGGAAUUCAUAAUAUGGUGCAGAAUCAAGGCGAAGUACAUAAACACAAGGACGUACAAAAAAAAAACCUCUUUCAAAAUACAUAAAUACUAGAAAAAUA